GAGUUUGAUCGUGGCUCAGGACGAACGCUGGCGGCGUGCUUAACACAUGCAAGUCGAACGGUAAGGCUCCAGCUUGCUGGGGUACACGAGUGGCGAACGGGUGAGUAACACGUGGGUGACCUGCCCUGCACUUCGGGAUAAGCCUGGGAAACUGGGUCUAAUACCGGAUAGGACCGCACCGUGAGGGUGUGGUGGAAAGUUUUUUUCGGUGUGGGAUGGGCCCGCGGCCUAUCAGCUUGUUGGUGGGGUAAUGGCCUACCAAGGCGGCGACGGGUAGCCGGCCUGAGAGGGUGGACGGCCACAUUGGGACUGAGACACGGCCCAGACUCCUACGGGAGGCAGCAGUGGGGAAUAUUGCACAAUGGGCGGAAGCCUGAUGCAGCGACGCCGCGUGGGGGAUGACGGCC
rnacentral:rRNA from 1 species